UACGUAGGUGGCAAGCGUUGUCCGGAAUUACUGGGUGUAAAGGGCGUGUAGGCGGGAAGGUAAGUCAGAUGUGAAAUUCCGGGGCUCAACCCCGGCGCUGCAUCUGAAACUAUCUUUCUUGAGUGCUGGAGAGGAAAGCGGAAUUCCUAGUGUAGCGGUGAAAUGCGUAGAUAUUAGGAGGAACACCAGUGGCGAAGGCGGCUUUCUGGACAGUAACGUGACGCA
rnacentral:rRNA from 1 species